UUCAGCCUACGGGACGCAGCAGUAGGGAAUCUUCCACAAUGGACGAAAGCCUGAUGCAGCAACGCCGCGUGAACGAAGAAGGCUCUUGGGUCGUAAAGUUCUGUUCUGAGGGAAGAAGAAAGUGACGGUACCUCAGGAGAAAGCCCCGGCUAACUACGUGCCAGCAGCCGCGGUAAUACGUAGGGGGCAAGCGUUGUCCGGAAUUAUUGGGCGUAAAGAGUACGUAGGCGGUCUGUUAAGCGCAAGGUGAAAGGCAUAGGCUCAACCAAUGUGAGCCUUGCGAACUGGCAGACUUGAGUGCAGGG
rnacentral:rRNA from 1 species